rnacentral:rRNA from 1 species
UCUGGGAUUAGAUACCCUGUUAUUAAAAAUAAAUUAUUUAAUUAUAAAGUAGUAAAAGAUUAAUGUUGAAAUUUAAAAAAUUUGGCGGUAUUUUAAUCUUUUCAGAGGAACUUGUUUUUUAAUUGAUAAUACUCAUUAAAUUUUACUUAAUUUAGUAGUUUGUAUAUCGUUGUCAUAAGAAAAUCUUUAAAAAAGGAAUAAUUUUCUAAAUUUUAUAUUAUAAUCUAUGUCAGAUCAAGGUGCAGCGUAUAAUUAAGAAAAAAUUAGUUACAAUAAAUUUAUUUAAAUGAAUAAUAAAAUUUUGUUUUAUUUGAAGGUGGAUUUGAAUGUAAAAUUUUUUUAUAAUAAAAAUUUGAUUAAAGUUUUAAAAUAUGUACAAAUCGCCCGUCACUCUCUGA